CAAUUAAAAAUCCUAAAACCCUAAUUGAUUUAUUCAAGCAACCUCCAGUAAAACGGCUAAAAUGGGUCUUCUGAAUUUGUGUUGCUUCAUCAAUUCCCUCAAAUUCCACAUAUCCCUGCUAUCUUUUUCUUUGUUUAUUUUCCGUUCUUAGUUGUUUGAAUCAUGAUCCCUAAAGGAUCCCGAUUAUUAAUGCCAAAGCAGAACUCGAAGAAGAAGAUGCUGGCUUGCAAACAAUCAUGAAACAGAGGAUGAUAAUUCGUUGGUUUUCAUUCAUUAAGAGUACAUAAAUCGUCUUCAGUUUUGAUAUGGAUUUCCAUGACGGUUGAGGGAAAGAUAUUGGCGUGUUGAGAA
rnacentral:lncRNA from 1 species